rnacentral:rRNA from 1 species
GCGAGUGGAUCCCUUCGGGGUGAAGCUCGUGGAACGAGCGGCGGACGGGUGAGUAACACGUGGGCAACCUGCCUGUAAGAUCGGAAUAACCCCGGGAAACCGGGGCUAAUGCCGGGUAAUACUUUUCUUCGCAUGAAGAUAAGUUGAAAGAUGGCUUCUCGCUAUCACUUACAGAUGGGCCCGCGGCGCAUUAGCUAGUUGGUGAGGUAACGGCUCACCAAGGCAACGAUGCGUAGCCGACCUGAGAGGGUGAUCGGCCACACUGGGACUGAGACACGGCCCAGACUCCUACGGGAGGCAGCAGUAGGGAAUCUUCCGCAAUGGACGAAAGUCUGACGGAGCAACGCCGCGUGAACGAUGAAGGUCUUCGGAUCGUAAAGUUCUGUUGUCAGGGAAGAACAAGUACCGUGCGAAUAGAGCGGUACCUUGACGGUACCUGACGAGGAAGCCCCGGCUAACUACGUGCCAGCAGCCGCGGUAAUACGUAGGGGGCAAGCGUUGUCCGGAAUUAUUGGGCGUAAAGCGCGCGCAGGCGGUUCCUUAAGUCUGAUGUGAAAGCCCACGGCUCAACCGUGGAGGGUCAUUGGAAACUGGGGAACUUGAGGACAGAAGAGGAGAGUGGAAUUCCACGUGUAGCGGUGAAAUGCGUAGAUAUGUGGAGGAACACCAGUGGCGAAGGCGACUCUCUGGUCUGUUUCUGACGCUGAGGUGCGAAAGCGUGGGUAGCAAACAGGAUUAGAUACCCUGGUAGUCCACGCCGUAAACGAUGAGUGCUAGGUGUUAGGGGGCUUCCACCCCUUAGUGCUGAAGUAACGCAUAAGCA